UCCGCGGCAAAUCACCAACUGUAGCUGCCGUCUCUUAAACAUUACUAGGUAAAGCCUCCUCUUGUUUGUACAUGUACUGAAUUUCAUUUUAAAGCGAUAUAUUGUCAGCAAAAAUAGUAUUCAGGACAGGUAGGAGGAGCUAAGUGACGCUCCGUCCAACAAUACAUUACAUACCUGUAAGACUUUAACGUCGUCACUUCAUUGGUCACGGCAACACUAAUUUAUAUAAAACGGUUGUUUAUAAUGGAUAUUUUUUCUCAGUGAGAUACAUAAUUCUUUUUGAGCCUUUACGUUGUCUGUAUAAAAUGGGGAAUUUUCUAUUUAUGUGUGAAGAUGAUACAGACGACGAUCUAUUCGACAAUUCGUUCAAAGAAGAUCAUUUCAGUGAAAACUGCCACUUGAUGGAAGAGCGUAUACAAUGCAAGCGUGAGGACCUGAAAAAAAAAAAUCGUUGUCAUUUGUAAAUGUAAAAAAAAAACAAGCAGGGAAGAGAUACAUGGCGUUACAUGUGAAAAAAGACGAAAGACAGUGAAAGGAAAGAUCAUUUUGUCGGUGAAAUGUCAGUGUCCUCCGUGUUGUAAAAAAUGAAGAGCAAACAAUUUGGUACAAGCAAUAUUCAAGGGUAUGUCCCAUUUAGAGCCCGUUGUCUCAUUUUUUUCCUUUCCUUAUAAAUCUGAUGCAUUUACCUCUCCUACAUAUACUUCUAGCAGGAAUGUCAUUUUCCUAUACUGACUAUGGCUUGCAGCUUACUACUAAGUAUCACUUGCACUCACGUGCGAUAGAGCACUGACCAGCCAUCCUCAGCUACAGCCAUGGCGUCACAGCUGGCUAAAUGGUAACUUUAAGUAGCGAAGACCGUAUUAGGUUAAUUCUAUGUCUGUAGAGGGACAUUUAUAUAGGUCUCAUUUGUACUUAUGCAUGUAUGAGGAAUCCUUUCUACACCUGGUUACAUAUGUAAGUUUUGUGUUAAUUCUACAUUGUGUCUUCUGUAAAACGAAUGAAUCUGGAAACAUAGUACUGUGUAUUGGUGAAGCACACGUAACUUUAGGCUGAUUAUUUUCCCUCUGUCUAUCGCGAGAGCUGUGAUUCACCGAACUGUGCGCUACGUUUGAUUUGCUGGAAUUCCCGGCUCAAAGCCACACCUCCCUCGGAGAUAUAAAUACGAAUAUUAUCCCGAUACCAUGACAAAGUGCAUGGCUUUCUAUUGGUUCACAGAUCAUGACGUGUACACAAAUUAAAUAUUCAAAUCAAGCAAAGCGUUAUAAAGUCUUGAAGAAAAUGCUAAAAGCUGAGUUUUGAAAUGAUUUAGAGCGAACGACACAAACAUGUCGCAAUACACUAACCAGCCAAGAUGGGAGGACGUUGUAGAUUAUUCGUUCAAUAACACUCCCAUAAUCGAGGAAAAUCACAAGAAUGACCAAUGCGGGUGGAAAAAGGUGGAAGUCGACAGAUCCCGUGGAAACUACAAGGCGGAUUUCGCAGAGUUUGUUGUUGUGGAAAGUACGAUGAUGACAUCAUGGAAAUACACUAUAGCAGAGCAUGCAAUUUUGAUGAUGGAUACUGGUGGUUAAGCUUUUUUGGGUGGCUCUGGUAUUUGAAGCGCAGGUGUGCUUGCAGCCCUAGACAGCACUAAAACGAGUUAUAAAUAAACAUCUACAACAAGACUGAUGUUACUUCUAUUCUCUCGGACUUGAAUGUUUGUGAAAAAGGUUUCUUGCUGUGAUUUCCAUACUAACAAGGUCGUGUGUUUCCGAGACAUUGAUGUCGACAUUGCCUAGAAAAGUUGGACCUUGUCAGAAAUAACUGGACAUUGCCUAGAAGACCUGGACAUUGCCUAGAAGACCUGGACAUUGCCUAGAAGAACUGGACGAUGCCUAGAAGAACUGGAUAUUUCCUGAAAAAAUAGCGUAUAGUGUGUUAAAGUAUAUGGUCAGCCAACAGUGUUCUACUUGUGGGAAAAGCUUCACUGCAGUGUGGUGUGUUAAUUUCUGUAAUAAAAUAUAAGUAAAAUCUCAUAUAAAAGGCAAACUUUAAUUAAUGCCAAUCACACAAACUUACUCACUCGAUCAACUGUUCUGGACGGUCACUAUCCAUACAUUUAUUGAAUUUUACAACUUUUUUUUCUAGGGUACUUGGGCCAACAUUGUAACACCGACGAUUUUGUCAGCAAUAUAUAUGCAUCGACAAAGCAAUAUGAUGCUGCAGCACAAAGGCAAUGUCAGACAUAAGAGCUCAUUGAGCUUAUGCUACAUGUAUUUCUUAGCUAAUUAGCGUAUGGUAUGAAAAUAAUAUAUUCACUGUACUUGUAGAAAAAUAGAAAAUAUGGUAAUGCAGAAUAUACCACCAAUUAAUUUAUUCAAUUAAUUAUUUGAUAAAAAUCCAUUAAAGCCUACAGAGACAAUAUUAUUUUUGAAUUUGUCAAAUUUGUGUUACAAUGCGUACUUUCCUGUCGCUUUUGGAAACCUUUCUUACAGUCAAGGUGCUCCUUAGUCUACUUUUUGUCCAUUGUAAGAAAGGUUCAAACAGCUUUUGAAAUACACUAUCUUACAGCCUCCAAGCAUUUUUUGUUUCAUUUGUAUUCGUGGAGAUUGUCAUAAUUGCCUUUUAGUUACAGCUGCCUUAACUGUUAAGAGCAAAAUCGAAAAUUAGUUAUGUUGAGGAAUAACAUUAGAAAGUUGACACGGCUUCAUGAUCCUAGGUCAAAUGUCAAGGUCAGAAAAUAAAGUAAAAUAUUCAACAUCA